UACGUAGGUGACAAGCGUUGUCCGGAUUUACUGGGCGUAAAGAGCGCGCAGGCGGUCGUUCAAGUCGGGUGUGAAAGCCCCCGGCUCAACUGGGGAGGGUCACUCGAUACUGAUCGACUCGAAGGCAGGAGAGGGCAGCAGAAUUCCCGGUGUAGUGGUGAAAUGCGUAGAUAUCGGGAGGAACACCAGUGGCGAAGGCGACUUCCUGGCCUGUUCUUGACGCUGAGGCGCGAAAGCUAGGGGAGCAAACGGG
rnacentral:rRNA from 1 species